ensembl:lncRNA
GUUGCAACCCUGGGGGAUGUGCAGAGAGCCGGGCCCGCGGGCGGUCAACCUGAUCGCGGGUGCCCGCCCCCAGAAGGCCCCGCGUAGGGUCGGGGAAGGGCGGUGGGGGUCGGGUGAGUAUGCCGGCCCCGGGGGCCCUAGGACAGGCCGGGACUGAGACGACUGAGGGCAUGAGGGGCAGGGAGGCUGGCACAGGGGAGAGGAGACCCAAGGACCCGCCCAGACCGCGCUGGUGGUGUGGGAGCCUCUCAGGGUUGGGGAGGACGUGUAGACCCGCAUCAAAUGCAAACGGACUCCCUGCCCUGCACUUUUAGUCUCUCUCACACACUCCCAUGAUUCCAGUUCCACUCCAGUUCCUGGAGGGGACGGUGGGAGGAUGGGGUGUGAGCUCCUCUAACUUCUAGUUGCAGGCAUUAAAAAUAACUUCCCGCUGUCUACCCCCGACGCAGCUCUCGGGAGACUGGAGACUCACCCCCUCGCCUAGUCACAGUCCCGGCACCGUGUCCGCAGUGGUGAUUUUAAAUAAUUCUCUCAAGUAUUGAUCUCUGCUCCCCCCAGAGUUUAACGGAUUUUAUUCUUUGGCUGCCUUUACACGGGGUAUCGUGAAGAGACAGAAGAGGAUGCGAAACUCAGGAUUAUAAUUGGUCUCAGCCUACUAUUACAGAGACAAACAACUUUUGCACCGCCCCGCUUGGGAAAAUGCUCUCCCAGUCUCAAGAAAAUUGAUCGAGCCAGUUUAACAAUAAGGUUGGCAGCGGUGGGAUUCGAACCCACGCCCCCGAAGAGACUGGAGCCUUAAUCCAGCGCCUUAGACCGCUCGGCCACGCUACCGUACAUACGAUAGCCUAAAACUCUUCCUGAUAGUUUAAAAGGUACAAGACUGUUCUUGCACGUGUUAUUUUCUUCUAGAGCCUUUUGUGCUCUGUUUCUGAUACCCGAGGGUAAAGGGAGAGGCAGCCAACGCUCAACAUCCAUCAAACUCGAAAGUAAUUAGCCCUUGACAAAAUGAUCGGAAUUCACCACCGCCGACGCAGCACCGGAACUCUAAGGAUGCUGAGAUCAAGAGUCGCCAAUUUGUCAGCUGCGUUUGGGGAUCGGCAGCGGGAAGUCAUUUCUAAUGUCCGCAACCAGAAAACAGAGGAGCUCCCUUCCUGCUCACCCGGAACUCCGUUCCUGGUUGCUGUGUCUGUGUGUGAAUUCUUGUUGUGAAAGUCGUGGAAGGAAACAACUUCGCAAACAGGCCUACUUUUUUUUUUGCUGAACAUGGUCACGGUCUUCAUUUACAAAGUUCAGGGAGGUAAUCAGUUUGCAUUUGGCGCGGAGCAUCGCAUUCUCUCCGUACUCGCAGAGGACGCGUCCUGCCCUCUCUUACCCCUUGAACGCGAGCUGGGCGGGUCCCUUGGCCCAGGUCUCGGCUUCCAGACCGCUCAUCCUCUCUCUCAGUCCCGCCUGAUCCAUAAGAUGCUGCCUCUUUUGAGCGAGCCCCAGUUCCACCUUUUCAAAUCCCAGCGGCUCCACUUAACAGCCAUAAACCCAUUGGCGAGUCACUUAAGCUUAUCGGGUAUCACUUUCUUCAUAUGUAAAAUGGUG